AAGAUGCUUUGACAAGGUCCAGUGCUGGCAGUAUGUAGAUAUGCUUAAUCCAGCCAGGAACCUGCUCCAGAGAUCACUAAGCUGCCUUGUCACUACUGACCCCCCAGUCUGUGUGAGGACGUAGGACUUAAUGUUUGAAACCCCUGGAAAAACUCUCGAAUCUGCAAGAUCUCAGAAACAGGAAAAUCUGUUUUCCUGCAUAAGAAGAAGGGCUUUUUGUGGUGACUGAAUACCGUACAUACAUCAGAAUGGCAGUACUAUUUGUUAAAUGUGAGUUACUUAAAUAAUUCAUUUUUCUCGCUAAUUAUACAGUACGUGGUUAGCUUCAAUGAUCGCAUGUAAUUAAAGGGGAAUGUCUUCUGCAGCUCUGUCAUGACUUUGAUGGUGCUGAUCGAGAAGAGAUGGAGAUUUCCUGGUAGCCUACAGAUUAUGUGCUAAUUAAGGGGUUUUCAUGGAGUGGCAUGUGUAUCCUGCGCAUGGAGACACACCUUGAAGAGCCUGCCAGUGAGUUAGAGAAGCCCCAGGGUUUGCUAGGGCAGCUGUGCUUCCAGGGAGAAGACCUCUGAAGGCUGCGCUGACAUGACAGCAGGGUAAGCUGCUAGCUCCAAACAUGCCACCUUCUGUCUCCUCCUAAGGGAAAUCUUGUCUAGCUAAAUGAGAAGAGAGUGGAAUGGGCAAAAGUUUUAAGCA
rnacentral:lncRNA from 1 species